GCACACAUUCAGCUGCACAUAUACUAAAACUGGAAUGAUACAGAGGAGAUUAGCAUGGCCUCUGCGCAAGAAUGACAUGCAAAUUCAUGAAGCAUUCCAUUUUUUU
rnacentral:snRNA from 1 species